rnacentral:rRNA from 1 species
AUUGAACGCUGGCGGCAGGCCUAACACAUGCAAGUCGAACGAGUGGCGGACGGGGGAGAAAUGUCUGGGACACUGCCCGAUGGAGGGGGGUAACUACUGGAAACGGUAGCUAAUACCGCAUACCAUCGGAUGUGCCCAGAUGGGAUUAGCUUGUAGGUGAGGUAACGGCUCCCCUAGGCGCCGAUCCCUAGCUGGUCUGAGAGGAUGACCAGCCACACUGGAACUGAGACACGGUCCAGACUCCUACGGGAGGCAGCAGUGGGGAAUAUUGCACAAUGGGCGCAAGCCUGAUGCAGCCAUGCCGCGUGUAUGAAGAAGGUCUUAGGAUUGUAAAGUACUUUAAGUGGGGAGGCGUUACCAGCAGAAUAAGCACCGGCUAACUCCGUGCCAGCCGCCGCGGUAAUUC